rnacentral:rRNA from 1 species
GAUGAACGCUGGCGGCGUGCCUAAUACAAGCAAGCCGAGCGAAUGGAUUAAGAGCUUGCUCUUAUGAAGUUAGCGGCGGACGGGUGAGUAACACGUGGGUAACCUGCCCAUAAGACUGGGAUAACUCCGGGAAACCGGGGCUAAUACCGGGUAACAUUUUGAACCGCAUGGUUCGAAAUUGAAAGGCGGCUUCGGCUGUCACUUAUGGAUGGACCCGCGUCGCAUUAGCUAGUUGGUGAGGUAACGGCUCACCAAGGCAACGAUGCGUAGCCGACCUGCGAGGGUGAUCGGCCACACGGGGACUGAGACACGGCCCAGACUCCUACGGGAGGCAGCAGUAGGGAAUCUUCCGCAAUGGACGAAAGUCUGACGGAGCAACGCCGCGUGAGUGAUGAAGGCUUUCGGGUCGUAAAACUCUGUUGUUAGGGAAGAACAAGUGCUAGUUGAAUAAGCUGGCACCUUGACGGUACCUAACCAGAAAGCCACGGCUAACUACGUGCCAGCAGCCGCGGUAA